GCCAAUAUAUGCUAUCUGUAGAAAGAAAAUAGAGGGUAUAAAUUAGAAUCUAAAGCAAACACUUAUAUUAGAGAUAUAAAACUCUUCUUGAGGCACUUGUGGAGUAGUUUUCUGACAUGGUAUUAAAACCUGUCAAACAAAAAGAAACAGAAUUCGAAUCUUGGCUGCCCCAACCGAUUGAUUAAACAUUUAAGCACAAGGUAAAAUGAGCAUAUCCUUGCUUACAAUUCAAGCCUAGUGGGAUUUGUAUGUGGGGAUGUAUUAGAAAUUUAAAACUAUUCUUAGGAAUCUCACCUAUAAAUUUGAGCUUUUACGUUGAGUAGUUUUUUGACAACUUAUAGUAGCAAAUAAGAACCCAUAUUUUCAUUCAAGCUUACACAAAGAAGUUGAAGAUAUUAUAAUGAAGCAUAAAAUUUUUUACAUGCUAAACUUAUACUCAAACCAGCAAGAAAUUAUAAUUUUCAGCAGUUAUUCCACGUAAGCAUUCACAUGGAAUGACAAGCCAAUAAAAAAUGGACACGUAGAGCGAUUAUAAGUUUAUCCACUUGUCCAUAUAUGUGCAUUCUCUGUUGGCCUGCCAUUCUAUGUAAGUUAUCCUACAUGGAAUCACAGAUGUACAACAUAGUUUCUCCAAACUAGAAAUUUGUAGACCUGCAACACAUUUGAAGACCUGCCUGGCCCACAAAAGUGCAAAUCAUGUGCUAACCUACCAGUCCAGACUUCACUUAGGCCCAUAAUAAAGCAGGCUGGGCAUGGAAUUGAUGAUUGAUGGAAUUGAAGAUAUUUUCCUUCAAUUCAAGGGAUAUGAAUGAGAAAAUCAGGUGAUUGAUUAGCAAAAUCAUUGGUUUGAUUAAUGCUUAUAUAAAG
rnacentral:misc_RNA from 1 species